rnacentral:rRNA from 1 species
CGUGUUGCUUGAUAGUGCAGCUCUAAGUUGGUGGUAAACUCCAUCUAAGGCUAAAUAUGACCACGAGACCGAUAGCGAACAAGUACCGUGAGGGAAAGUUGAAAAGAACUUUGAAGAGAGAGUUAAAUAGUACGUGAAACCGUUCAGGGGUAAACCUGAGGAACCCAAAAGAUCGAUCGGGGAGAUUCAUCGUCAGCGACAGGUCGGCUUGCGUGCGGCUCGCGAUGCUGCGAACUCGUUCGCUGCACGCGGUCGCUGCGCCAUGUCCGGCGUCGCCGGCGUGCACUUCUCCCCUAGUAGGACGUCGCGACCCGUUGGGUGUCGGUCGACGGCCCGGUCGGUUGACCGUCGCGUCGCUCUCGGGCGAGCGUGGCGGACCACCGGUCGCCCGGCCGACUGCCCGGCGGUAUUGAUUUUCGUUAACACGGUAUUGGGCCGCAUUCAAUGCGUCCUGGCUCGUCGACAGGCUGGCCUCGCUCGGAUUUACGGACCUGGUUGCCGUUGCCGGGCGCUUGGCUGGCCGUUUGAGUCGGCGAUGUCCUCGGACCGGCUCCUCCAAUUACCGGUCGGCGACGCUACUGCUUUGGGUACUUUCAGGACCCGUCUUGAAACACGGACCAAGGAGUCUAACAUGCACGCGAGUCAUUGGGAUACGUACGAAGCCCACAGGCGCAAUGAAAGUAAAGGUCCGCUCUAAGCGCGACCGAGGGAGGAUGGCAAGCGACACGUUGCUUGCCCGCACUCCCGGGGCGUCUCGAGCUCAUUGCGAGCUGAGGCGCACCCAGAGCGUGCACGUUGGGACCCGAAAGAUGGUGAACUAUGCCUGGUCAGGAUGAAGUCAGGGGAAACCCUGAUGGAGGUCCGUAGCGAUUCUGACGUGCAAAUCGAUCGUCGGAACUGGGUAUAGGGGCGAAAGACUAAUCGAACCAUCUAGUAGCUGGUUCCUUCCGA